rnacentral:rRNA from 1 species
GACGAACGCUGGCGGCGUGCUUAACACAUGCAAGUCGAACGGAAAGGCCCUGCUUUUGUGGGGUGCUCGAGUGGCGAACGGGUGAGUAACACGUGAGUAACCUGCCCUUGACUUUGGGAUAACUUCAGGAAACUGGGGCUAAUACCGGAUAGGAGCUCCUGCUGCAUGGUGGGGGUUGGAAAGUUUCGGCGUUUGGGGAUGGACUCGCGGCUUAUCAGCUUGUUGGUGGGGUAGUGGCUUACCAAGGCUUUGACGGGUAGCCGGCCUGAGAGGGUGACCGGCCACAAUGGGACUGAGAUACGGCCCAGACGCCUACGGGAGGCAGCAGUGGGGAAUAUUGCACAGUGGGCGGAAGCCUGAUGCAGCAGCGCCGCGUGCGGGAUGACGGCCUUCGGGUUGUAAACCGCUUUCGCCUGUGACGAAGCGUGAGUGACGGUAAUGGGUAAAGAAGCACCGGCUAACUACGUG